CCAGGAUGCUGCCACAUCCUUCUCUGCUGACAUAUUGUAGACUGUAGGGAAAGCUAUUGAGGAUGUAAUAGCAGAAGCACACCAAUACCAGGAUGCUGCCACAUCCUUCUCUGCUGAUAUAUUGUUGACUGUAGGGAAAGCACCGGUACGCCUGAGUGGGUAAUGUUGGAAAAAGAUUGCUUGUCCUUCUGUAUGGUAAUUGCUUCCAUUACAGAAUGUUCAAAUCGUCAUAUUUGCCUCAACUGCCUUUUUGGGAUCUUCAUAUUUGGAUCUUCCAUUUACAUAGUCAGAUAAUCAGAUGAGGCCACUUCUUGUAAAGACAAGGCAGUUUUGGUGACCUUGUAUGUGGAGAAGCCAAGGAAGAGACUAAAUCAUCAUCAUCACCACCAUCAUCAUCAUCAUCAUCAUCAUCACCACCAUCAUCUUCUUUAUCAUACUAUCAAGGGAGAGGGAUUUCAACAGAAUUAUGGUGCUGAUGGUAGAGGGUACAGCAGGAGAGCUCUACUGCUUCACUAUUCUCAAAGCCUUAGGGAGUCUGCCCAAUCAGCAGCAUCUGCAUCCUUGAAUCCAAAGGCUAUUUCUUCCAAGGACCAGCAACCCAUAAACAAAAUUGCUGCUGGUCAAAGCAAGCCAAAACAUGAAAAAGUGCCUGCUUGUCUGGGAGAUUGGAAGCUCUCCAUUGCUAGCCUUGUCAGAUCUUUUACUAGUGUACAAGCUAAGAAAACAAGCAAGAAGAAGAAGAAGAAGAAAGACAAUGGAUCCUCAAGAGCUAACAUAGCAGCAGUUAUGAAAAACUUAAAGGUGCAAAAGAAGUUGGGAUUCAUUUCAAAACUCCUCAAACCAUCACAAAAGCAUACCUAAAGCUUAGGUAUCCAUUAGUGUUCCCUAUAAUGUUUUGUUUGCAUUUUUUCCUUUCUGGAAUAAGAUCAUAAGCUUUGUUUCAUCCAUGGAGAAUAAAAUAAG